rfam:Corynebacterium glutamicum ATCC 13032 DNA, complete genome.
GCCGCUUUAGCUCAGUCGGUAGAGCGUCUCACUCGUAAUGAGAAGGUCGCGAGUUCGAUUCUCGCAAGCGGCU